CGGGAAGUAGCUCAGAGCACUUGGUUUGGGACCAAGGGGUCGCAGGUUCGAAUCCUGUCUUCCCGA
rnacentral:tRNA from 1 species